AAAGCAUUAAGUGCUGCCACUGAUGAGAGUCACUGGCUUGACCAACAAGACGUUACUUACAAAACACAUUGGUUUACUAUUUCCUUUUCUACCAACAAAACAUUAAAACUGUAAAUAUCAUAAACUCUUGCGCCUGUGUGUAUGUACAACGUCUAGAUAUGAGUGCAAGAAAUUUCAACUUUAACAAACGUGAAAUUGAGGUACCGUUGAACAACAAACGUGAAAAGAACAAAGGCAACAAAUUGUGGAGAAGAAGGGUAAAAAACAACGGACGAGUUCCACUUCUUGGAGACGAAAUGCUUCAAAACACAGAAGACGAAGAAAUAAGAAAAGAUAAAAAUAAGAUAUUUGCCGCACAAGAAAAACACUUUGACGUUAUGAUGACAGAACCGGAUGUGCAAAAAAAUUCUAAGCAAGAUAAAGUUCUCGUUUUUCCUCAGUCUAAUGAAGGAAAUCGAAGAAAUGCAAUAUGCGAUGUUUUAGAGAAACAAUGUGUCGAACGAGUUUACACUAAAGAAACCAAUCUUUCAGAAAGGAGAGACUGUUUACGAAUUGAACAUGCUUUGCGUGAGUUUUUUCUGCUUUAAAAGAAAAAAUGAUAGAUUUAAUUUACGUAUAAUUUACGUCAAAAUGUAAUUUCAGUUCAGUGGGAGACCUAGCGUAUGUUUAGUGGGAGACUUAGCGUAUGUUUAGUGGGAGACUUAGCGUAUAAUUACAUUUUAAAGUAUAUUAAACGCAGUAGAUUGGAAAACUCUGGCAUUUCAUAACCAAUUGUGUUGUCAUAAAAUUAUUUUAACGUAUAUUCGACACACAAUGAAAUAAAUGUCUUAUAUUAAAUCCACCUUUGGUUUGUUGACUUAACUAAAAUAAUCUUCGUUUGUUUUAAUCGGUUAUCAUUGAAAUAAGAUUGAGUUUGUACACGAUAAAAGACAAAAACUUACAUAUUUUUAAAAACCCCACAGUAGCUUAUAACAUCAACAAAAGAAAACGAAAAGUCAACGCUUGAAAAGUUUCCAGUAUGAUUGUAUGUACAUAUCAAUUUUUAAGCUUCAUGUAAUUAUGUAGAUGACGCACAUGUAUUUAAUAAAAUUUUCAGCUAAA